CGGAGGUACUCGAGUGGCGAACGGGUGGGUAACACGUGGGUGAUCUGCCCUGCACUCUGGGAUAAGCCUGGGAAACUGGGUCUAAUACCGGAUAGGACCAUGCUUUAGUGUGUGUGGUGGAAAGUUUUUUCGGUGUAGGAUGAGCCCGCGGCCUAUCAGCUUGUUGGUGGGGUAAUGGCCUACCAAGGCGGCGACGGGUAGCCGGACUGAGAGGUUGGUCGGCCACAUUGGGACUGAGAUACGGCCCAG
rnacentral:rRNA from 1 species